rnacentral:tRNA from 1 species
CCCAAGUUGGUGUAGCGGGAACAUCCUGGGUGACACGCAGUUUAAUAAAACUUUAAAACUGUGCCCCGUAGGGGGCCAGGGAGCUAGGUUCGACUCCUAGACUUGGGU